UUAGACCACACACACCAUACCACACAUGUUAGGGCAAAUCAUUUCAGCCUCCUAAAUGGCCUCCAUCUCUAUUCUCGUUCUCAACUCUGAACUUGCCCUCUCUCUGUCUCUGCAACUGCAAACUAUAAAAUCUACAAGAAUCAGAUCAGCCUCCCAAAUCGCCUCCAUCUCUAUUCUCGUUCUCAACUCUAAACUUGCCCUCUCUUUGUCUCUGCAACUACAAACUACAAAAUCUACAAGAAUCAGAACCCAUAUCGGCAUAUCAUUUCAAAUUGUUUAAAAAAUUAAAACCCAUAUCCUUCAGUUUCCAUCGCCCGCUGUUCCAGUUCGGGUUCGCCGUUCAAAAGCUUCAACCUCAGGCCGUUGUCUCUCAACUCUCAAGCCCUCUCUACUCUCUCAUAAGGAUGACGUUGAGUAAAGACUUAAAGAUCGACCAAAAUUACAGAACAGAUUGCAGGGGGGAGAUAACAGCUUACUUUCAUUCUCUCCCUCAAGCUAAUACAAGCAAGGAUGCAGACUUAUGGAUCCCAACAAACACAAAACACAUGAUCACUGGGAAUAGCGUUCCCUGAUGUCAAGUACUUUACAAAAGCUUCAGUUGCUGCCUUGCGAAUAUUUGAUAGGAUUGACCGGAUUCCUGAAAUCGAUGGUGAAGACUAAGGUGGGUGAAAGAGGGGCUCUUUUAUCAGGUGGACAAAAGCAGCUGAUUGCCAUUGCUAGAGCUAUCAUUAAGAACCCUGUGAUUUUAAAAGGUCAAAGCUAAGAUUGCGGGAUUACGGUUCCCACUACUUUUUUUGUUGCCGUUAUAUUUUUUGUAUGGCACAUGAUCAAGAAGUUGCAUAUAUGGAAGAGAGAGACUAAAACAGAGUAAGAAGAUAUGAAAUUUUUUUGUUUUAUUUUGGUUAAGUAAAGAUAUAAGCUUGUGGAUCAUAUACUUCUUUGAAAUUUGUAAAUAUUUUUGUAUAAAAUCAUGAUUUGGAAUUGGUAAUAUAUAUAUAUAUAUAU